rnacentral:rRNA from 1 species
UACGGAGGGCGCGAGCGUUACCCGGAUUUACUGGGCGUAAAGGGCGUGUAGGCGGUUUGGGGCGUCCCAUGUGAAAGGGCCACGGCUCAACCGUGGAGGAGCGUGGGAUACGCUCAAGCUAGAGGGUGGGAGAAGGUGGUGGAAUUCCCGGAGUAGCGGUGAAAUGCGCAGAUACCGGGAGGAACGCCGAUGGCGAAGGCAGCCACCUGGUCCAUUUCUGACGCUGAGGCGCGAAAGCGUGGGGAGCAAACCGGAUUAGAUACCCGGGUAGUCCACGCCCUAAACGAUGCGCGCUAGGUCUUUGGGGUUUACCUGAGGGCCGAAGCCAACGCGUUAAGCGCGCCGCCUGGGGAGUACGGCCGCAAGGCUGAAACUCAAAGGAAUUGACGGGGGCCCGCACAGGCGGUGGAGCAUGUGGUUUAAUUCGAAGCAACGCGAAGAACCUUACCAGGCCUUGACAUGCUAGGGGACCCAGGUGAAAGCCUGGGGUGCCCGCGAGGGAGCCCUAGCACAGGUGCUGCAUGGCCGUCGUCAGCUCGUGUCGUGAGAUGUUGGGUUAAGUCCCGCAACGAGCGCAACCCCUGCCCUUAGUUGCCAGCGGGUUAGGCCGGGCACUCUAGGGGGACUGCCUGCGAAAGCAGGAGGAAGGCGGGGACGACGUCUGGUCAUCAUGGCCCUUACGGCCUGGGCGACACACGUGCUACAAUGCCCACUACAGAGCGAUGCGACCCAGCGAUGGGGAGCGAAUCGCAAAAAGGUGGGCGUAGUUCGGAUUGGGGUCUGCAACCCGACCCCAUGAAGCCGGAAUCGCUAGUAAUCGCGGAUCAGCCAUGCCGCGGUGAAUACGUUCCCGGGCC